rnacentral:rRNA from 1 species
UCAAUAAGCGGAGGAAAAGAAACCAACUGGGAUUACCUUAGUAACGGCGAGUGAAGCGGUAAAAGCUCAAAUUUGAAAUCUGGUACUUUCAGUGCCCGAGUUGUAAUUUGUAGAAUUUGUCUUUGAUUAGGUCCUUGUCUAUGUUCCUUGGAACAGGACGUCAUAGAGGGUGAGAAUCCCGUUUGGCGAGGAUACCUUUUCUCUGUAAGACUUUUUCGAAGAGUCGAGUUGUUUGGGAAUGCAGCUCAAAGUGGGUGGUAAAUUCCAUCUAAAGCUAAAUAUUGGCGAGAGACCGAUAGCGAACAAGUACAGUGAUGGAAAGAUGAAAAGAACUUUGAAAAGAGAGUGAAAAAGUACGUGAAAUUGUUGAAAGGGAAGGGCAUUUGAUCAGACAUGGUGUUUUUUGCAUGCACUCGCCUCUCGUGGGCUUGGGCCUCUCAAAAAUUUCACUGGGCCAACAUCAAUUCUGGCAGUAGGAUAAAUCAUUAAGAAUGUAGCUACCUCGGUAGUGUUAUAGCUUAUUGGAAUACUGCUAGCUGGGAUUGAGGACUGCGCUUCGGCAAGGAUGUUGGCAUAAUGGUUAAAUGCCGCCCGUCUUGAAACACGGACAAA